UUUAUGAUUCUAGCUUUCUGUUUUUUAUGUCAAAACAUAAAUUUGGAAACACAAUAAAUUCGAAUUUUUAUAUUUUUAUCAAAGAUUUCGGUUGAAAUUUAGAAUUGUAAAUUAAGGUAUACGUGAAUGAAUCGUACAAUUAAUGAAAAUCAAGUCACUUUCAAAUAGUCUUCAUUCAAGAAUCCAAGAGUUACAUACUUGUCACUUCAUGCUGGUCUUGCGACUAGUCAAGAUCAUUGGAUAAACGAUGAGCGAUAAAACUAAAUUUCCUUAUAUUGAACAGCCUGGAGGCAAAUAUAAAGAUAUCUAUUCUCUUUUGUUGUCCUGGCUGGAUAGCCGUAAUCUGACGCCAAGGGAGCUGAAACAUCGCCAAGUAUUGAUUCAUUUGCGUCUACUGAUGUUGGAAAAACAGGAUGAGGAGUAUUAUAUCAAAAGAUACAUAAAGCUACGAACCCGUUGAGAAAUCACGAAUGAAAUUCUUAUAAAUGUUUUUUUAAUGGUUAUGUUAUAAUUUAA